CCUUCACCCCCCCCCAGGAGGACUCUGAGGACAGCGACACCGAUGUGGAGGAGGAGACCUCAAACCCCCCCCCGGCGCGACCCCCCCUCAAUUUCACCAGAUUUUGGGGCAAUUUGGGCCAAUUUUGGGCAAUCUCACAUCGACUGAGCGUGAGGACAGCACUGAGACCCCCCCCUCCCCCUCACUGCCCCCAAAGCACAGUGUGUGUGUGUCGGGGGGGACGACUGUCCCUCUCUGUAUGCUUUGUCCCCUUUUUUUUUGGGGGGGGGGAGGGGAGAAGUGGGGGGCUGGCUUUUAGGGGCUGUUGCCGACUUUUAACCAUUCUGGGUUUUUUUUUUUAUGGGGCUCCAAUAAACGUUCCCAUUUCCA
rnacentral:lncRNA from 1 species